CGGGUUUGCAAAAAAUACCCUCUAAACUCAAAAGGUGUGGCGGUGGUCAAUCUUCUCAGAGGAACCWGWUUCWUAAUAGAAACAACACGAAAAAUCUUACCUCCUUAUAGCUCAUAUACCGUCAUCUAAAUACCUUWUAAAAAAGUUAUUUUAAGGAGACAAUAAAGUUAGAUCAAGGUGUGGCUUACUGAGGUAGAAAUGGGUACAUUCUAUAUAAAGGGGAU
rnacentral:rRNA from 1 species